rnacentral:rRNA from 1 species
AACGAACGCUGGCGGCGUGCCUAACACAUGCAAGUCGAGCGGGAAAGUUCCCUUCGGGGGAUGAGUAUAGCGGCGCACGGGUGAGUAACACGUAGGUAACCUGCCCCCAAGUCUGGAAUAACCCGCCGAAAGGCGGGCUAAUACCUGAUAAGACCACGUCGGCCUCGGGCGACGCGGCAAAAGAUGGACUCUACGUGUAAGCUAUCGCUACGGGAUGGGCCUGCGCGCCAUUAGCUAGUUGGUGGGGUAACGGCCUACCAAGGCGAAGAUGGCUAGCUGGUCUGAGAGGAUGAUCAGCCACACUGGGACUGAGACACGGCCCAGACUCCUACGGGAGGCAGCAGUGGGGAAUAUUGCGCAAUGGGGGAAACCCUGACGCAGCGACGCCGCGUGGGUGAUGAAGGCCUUCGGGUCGUAAAGCCCUGUCGGGAGGGACGAACCACCGAUGGAAUAAUACGCCAUCGGCCUGACGGUACCUCCUAAGGAAGCACCGGCUAACUCCGUGCCAGCCGCCGCCGUAAUAC